rnacentral:tRNA from 1 species
CGCGGGAUGGAGCAGUUGGUAGCUCGUCGGGCUCAUAACCCGAAGGUCGUUGGUUCAAGUCCAGCUCCCGCUAC